rnacentral:rRNA from 1 species
GUCGAGAAUCUUUCACAAUGGGGGCAACCCUGAUGGAGCGACGCCGCGUGGAGGAUAAGGUCUUCGGAUUGUAAACUCCUGUCAUGCGUGAACAAGGUUGCUUGGAUAAUACCUGAGCAAAUUGAUGGUAGCGCAAGAGGAAGAGACGGCUAACUCUGUGCCAGCAGCCGCGGUAAUACAGAGGUCUCAAGCGUUGUUCGGAAUCACUGGGCGUAAAGGGUGCGUAGGUGGCGUGGCAAGUCAGAUGUGAAAGCCCGGGGCUCAACCUCGGAACUGCAUGCGAUACUGCCAUGCUAGAGUACUGGGGGGGUGACUAGAAUUCUCGGUGUAGCAGUGAAAUGCGUAGAUAUCGAGAGGAAUACCAAAGGCGUAGGCAGGUCACUGGACAGUUACUGACACUGAGGCACGAAGGCCAGGGGAGCGAACGGGAUUAGAAACCCUUGUAGUCC